GCCGGGCGUGAUGGCUCACGCCUGUAAUCCCAGCACUUUGGGAGGCUGAGGUGGGCGGAUCACCUGAGGUCAGGAGUUUGAGACCAGCCUGGCCAACAUGGUGAAACCCCAUCUCUA
ensembl:misc_RNA Metazoa_SRP Metazoan signal recognition particle RNA